rnacentral:rRNA from 1 species
GGAUGCGAUCAUACCAGCACUAAAGCACCGGAUCCAUCAGAACUCCGCAGUUAAGCGUGCUUGGCGAGAGUAGUACUAGGAUGGGUGACCCCUGGGAAGUCUCGUGUUGCAUCCU